UGGCGGACGGGUGAGUAACGCGUGGAUAACCUGCCUCACACUGGGGGAUAACAGUUGGAAACGGCUGCUAAUACCGCAUAAGCGCACAGUACCGCAUGGUACCGUGUGAAAAACUCCGGUGGUAUGAGAUGGACCCGCGUCUGAUUAGGUAGUUGGUGGGGUAACGGCCUACCAAGCCGACGAUCAGUAGCCGACCUGAGAGGGUGACCGGCCACAUUGGGACUGAGACAUGGCCCAA
rnacentral:rRNA from 1 species